rnacentral:misc_RNA from 1 species
CCUCCCUCACGCAGCGCGCCUGCGUGGUGUUGGGGCGUUCUGCGGCCAGGCCUGCGCCCAGCGCAGGCCGCCGCAGCCCCCGAAAGCCAGUGGCGGGCCGGCAGCGGGCUCCGAGCGCAGUAAGCAUCACGCCCUCGCUCUGGACGCCCCCGCCUGCGCCCUGCCCCCAUACCGGCAGACGCGAGUCUGCCCCCUUCUCAAGG